ACGCACAUUGCUAUAAAAAGGCAGAAUAUUUUUUGUGAGCCACUCUUGAGAGUACUCUGAGCUGAACAUGAAAACUAUAGUGCUGCUGUUAGGAGUGUUCGUGGCCUUUUUAGGGAUGGCGGCGGCCGGCGAUAUUCCCCCAUUAUGGCACCUUCGAACAUCUAAACUAUGCGGAUGUAAACCAGAAAAGGAAUUUUGCGCCAGCUACGACCAUAAGACUUAUCACAGUGUUUGCGAGUUCGAGUGCGUGAACCCUGGACUAGUAGGUUGG